GACGAACGCUGGCGGCGUGCUUAACACAUGCAAGUCGAACGGAAAGGCCCUGCUUUUGUGGGGUGCUCGAGUGGCGAACGGGUGAGUAACACGUGAGUAACCUGCCCUUGACUUUGGGAUAACUUCAGGAAACUGGGGCUAAUACCGGAUAGGAGCUCCUGCUGCAUGGUGGGGGUUGGAAAGUUUCGGCGGUUGGGGAUGGACUCGCGGCUUAUCAGCUUGUUUGUGGGGUAGUGGCUUACCAAGGCUUUGACGGGUAGCCGGCAUGGGAGGGGAGCCGGCCACAUUGGGACUGAGAUACGGCCCAGACUCCUACGGGAGGCAGCGGUGGGGAAUAUUGCACAAUGGGCGGAAGCCUGAUGCAGCAACGCCGCGUGCGGGAUGACGGCCUUCGGGUUGUAAACCGCUUUCGCCUGUGACGAAGCGUGAGUGACGGUAAUGGGUAAAGAAGCACCGGCUAACUACGUG
rnacentral:rRNA from 1 species